rnacentral:lncRNA from 1 species
UCCAACUAUAUUAUAGUUGAACAGUAUUAAGUAAAAUUGAAUUGAUUCAUUAAUUCUUUGUUUUUAUAGUGGGGUAUAUCUUUGUUAGUAGGGUGGCAUUAGGAUAAAUGUCCAUCAAUAGUGGGGUAAGCAAAAUUUAACCCAUUCAUUAAUUCUUUUUUAUUUUUAUUUUUUCUAUAAACAGUGGGUUAUGUUUACAUCUUUUUUAUUUGUUUUUUUUAAAUGUUAUUUGGUUUGGUUAUUACUUAUUCGUAUCGGUUUUUGAUUUUUUCAUAAAAACAAGUUGGUAGAAAUCGAUCCAGC